rnacentral:rRNA from 1 species
GAUGAACGCUGGCGGCGUGCCUAAUACAUGCAAGUCGAUCGAACAGACGAGGAGCUUGCUCCUCUGACGUUAGCGGCGGACGGGUGAGUAACACGUGGAUAACCUACCUAUAAGACUGGGAUAACUUCGGGAAACCGGAGCUAAUACCGGAUAAUAUAUUGAACCGCAUGGUUCAAUAGUUAAAUACGGUUUUGCUGUCACUUAUAGAUGGAUCCGCGCCGCAUUAGCUAGUUGGUAAGGUAACGGCUUACCAAGGCAACGAUGCGUAGCCGACCUGAGAGGGUGAUCGGCCACACUGGAACUGAGACACGGUCCAGACUCCUACGGGAGGCAGCAGUAGGGAAUCUUCCGCAAUGGGCGAAAGCCUGACGGAGCAACGCCGCGUGAGUGAUGAAGGUCUUCGGAUCGUAAAACUCUGUUAUUAGGGAAGAACAAAUGUGUAAGUAACUAUGCACGUCUUGACGGUACCUAAUCAGAAAGCCACGGCUAACUACGUG